rnacentral:rRNA from 1 species
AACGAACGCUGGCGGCAGGCUUAACACAUGCAAGUCGAACGGAUGUAGCAAUACAUCAGUGGCAGACGGGUGAGUAACACGUGGGAACCUUCCUCGUUGCACGGGACAACUCAGGGAAACUUGAGCUAAUACCGUAUAAGUCCGAGAGGAGAAAGAUUUAUCGCAAUGAGACGGGCCCGCGUCGGAUUAGCUAGUUGGUGGGGUAACGGCCUACCAAGGCGACGAUCCGAGCUGAUCUGAGAGGAUGAUCAGCCACACUGGGACUGAGACACGGCCCAGACUCCUACGGGAGGCAGCAGUGGGGAAUCUUGCGCAAUGGGCGAAAGCCUGACGCAGCGACGCCGCGUGAGGGAUGACGGCC